rnacentral:rRNA from 8 species
UGGAGCUGAAGUCAGUCGAAGAUACCAGCUGGCUGCAACUGUUUAUUAAAAACACAGCACUGUGCAAACACGAAAGUGGACGUAUACGGUGUGACGCCUGCCCGGUGCCGGAAGGUUAAUUGAUGGGGUCAGCGCAAGCGAAGCUCCUGAUCGAAGCCCCGGUAAACGGCGGCCGUAACUAUAACGGUCCUAAGGUAGCGAAAUUCCUUGUCGGGUAAGUUCCGACCUGCACGAAUGGCGUAAUGAUGGCCAGGCUGUCUCCACCCGAGACUCAGUGAAAUUGAACUCGCUGUGAAGAUGCAGUGUACCCGCGGCAAGACGGAAAGACCCCGUGAACCUUUACUAUAGCUUGACACUGAACAUUGAGCCUUGAUGUGUAGGAUAGGUGGGAGGCUUUGAAGUGUGGACGCCAGUCUGCAUGGAGCCGACCUUGAAAUACCACCCUUUAAUGUUUGAUGUUCUAACGUGGACCCGUGAUCCGGGUUGCGGACAGUGUCUGGUGGGUAGUUUGACUGGGGCGGUCUCCUCCUAAAGAGUAACGGAGGAGCACGAAGGUUGGCUAAUCCUGGUCGGACAUCAGGAGGUUAGUGCAAUGGCAUAAGCCAGCUUGACUGCGAGCGUGACGGCGCGAGCAGGUGCGAAAGCAGGUCAUAGUGAUCCGGUGGUUCUGAAUGGAAGGGCCAUCGCUCAACGGAUAAAAGGUACUCCGGGGAUAACAGGCUGAUACCGCCCAAGAGUUCAUAUCGACGGCGGUGUUUGGCACCUCGAUGUCGGCUCAUCACAUCCUGGGGCUGAAGUAGGUCCCAAGGGUAUGGCUGUUCGCCAUUUAAAGUGGUACGCGAGCUGGGUUUAGAACGUCGUGAGACAGUUCGGUCCCUAUCUGCCGUGGGCGCUGGAGAACUGAGGGGGGCUGCUCCUAGUACGAGAGGACCGGAGUGGACGCAUCACUGGUGUUCGGGUUGUCAUGCCAAUGGCACUGCCCGGUAGCUAAAUGCGGAAGAGAUAAGUGCUGAAAGCAUCUAAGCACGAAACUUGCCCCGAGAUGAGUUCUCCCUGAGACUUUAGGUCUCCUGAAGGAACGUUGAAGACGACGACGUUGAUAGGCCGGGUGUGUAAGCGCAGCGAUGCGUUGAGCUAACCGGUACUAAUGAACCGUGAGGCUUAACCUUACAACGCCGAAG